UACGGAGGGGGCUAGCGUUGUUCGGAAUUACUGGGCGUAAAGCGCACGUAGGCGGCUUUCUAAGUCAGGGGUGAAAUCCUGGAGCUCAACUCCAGAACUGCCUUUGAUACUGGAGAGCUUGAGUCCGGGAGAGGUGAGUGGAACUCCGAGUGUAGAGGUGAAAUUCGUAGAUAUUCGGAAGAACACCAGUGGCGAAGGCGGCUCACUGGCCCGGUACUGACGCUGAGGUGCGAAAGCGUGGGGAGCGAACAGG
rnacentral:rRNA from 1 species